CCUCAUCUGUGUGAGUCAAGACUCUCCUGAGAGCUGCCUUUAUUUUGAGCAGCUCUGUUCCUAAUGGCAACCUGGGAGGCUGGCUUUCCAGCCUGUUUUCAAGCAGUGCUCAGCAAAGCCACAUCACCGCAAGGUGUUAGGAAUGCCCCCGUGAGGAAGAGGAAGUGAACUGAGGACUCAGCAAGAAGAUGGCCAUCUAUGAACCAGGAAGCGGACCCUCACCAGACAGAAAAUCUGCCAGCACCUUGAUCUUGGACUUCCAGCCUCCAGAAUCAUAAGAAAUAAAUUUCUCUUGUUUAUAAUUCUCUAUGGUAUUGUUGGUAUAGCAAUGUGAACUAAGACAUAAGUUGAGAUCUGAGUGAUAAGAAGUAGCAAAUCAUGUUAGUUAGGAGGACAGAGUGCAUUGAGCAGAGGCCUCAACUAACAUGAAGUACCAAAAGUAGAACGAAGUUUAAAAAGUCCCAGUGGGGCUAGGAAGAAGGCCAGUGGGCCUAGAGUGGGGCGGGUGAGGGCAGAAGGCAAGGAGGUAUGUGUGGAGAAGUGGCUGACCCUGGUUUACAUAGCUCGGUC
rnacentral:lncRNA from 10 species